rnacentral:rRNA from 1 species
UACGUAGGUGGCAAGCGUUGUCCGGAUUUAUUGGGUUUAAAGGGUGCGUAGGCGGUCUUAUAAGUCAGUGGUGAAAUACGGCAGCUCAACUGUCGAGGUGCCAUGAUACUGUAGGACUUGAGUACAGACGAGGUAGGCGGAAUUGACGGUGUAGCGGUGAAAUGCUUAGAUAUCGUCAAGAACACCGAUAGCGAAGGCAGCUUACUAGGCUGUAACUGACGCUGAGGCACGAAAGUGUGGGGAGCGAUCCGG